GAAUAGAAAGUAAAUUUACAUUUUAGUUUCGACCUAAUUUUUUGCUUUAUUAAGGCUCUAUUUA
rnacentral:tRNA from 1 species